rnacentral:lncRNA from 1 species
CAGGAUUCAUGUGAGAAGGGAGAAAACAUGAUUAUGUGAGGUAUUGAGCUUCAGAGUUUUAUUACUUGAUAACGAUCUGGUACACUUGCCAGGGACUUAACUCAUCACCUACUUGAGAACUAACAGAGGUGGUGAAUUUACAUCCAAGUUAUUUACAGUUUCUUGUGAUUAACAAGGUAUUUACACACAGUUAACAACAAUGCACACUCCCCA